UACAGAGGUCUCAAGCGUUUGUUCGGAUUCAUUGGGCGUAAAGGGUGCGUAGGCGGCGCGGUAAGUCGGGUGUGAAAUCUCGGAGCUUAACUCCGAAACUGCAUUCGAUACUGCCGUGCUUGAGGACUGGAGAGGAGACUGGAAUUUACGGUGUAGCGGUGAAAUGCGUAGAUAUCAGGAGGAACACCUGGUGGUGAUGAGACAGCUUACGUGGACCACGACUGACGCUGAGACACGAAAGCGGUGGGUAGCAAAACAGGGAUUAGAACUACC
rnacentral:rRNA from 1 species